GGAUGUGAGGGCGAUUUGGCUGCAACAUCUGUCACCCCAUUGAUCGCCAGGGUUGAUUCGGCUGUUCCGUUUGGCUAGGCGGGUGUCCCCUUCUUCCCUCACCCCUCCAUGUGCAUCCCUCCCGAAGCUGUGCGCUCGGUGGAAGAGGACGACCAUCCCAGAUAGAAGGAAUGUACCGUUUUUCGGUCAAGGGUAUACAAUAGCUGCGCUUCUCUGCUAGAGCAGGAAUGUGUCUGUCUUGCAAGAGCCACAUUCAAGUGGGAGUGGAUGCCAUGAAAUCCUACUCAAUAAU